rnacentral:rRNA from 1 species
UCGGGAAUUUUGCGCAAUGGGCGAAAGCCUGACGCAGCAACGCCGCGUGAGGGAUGAAGGCCUUCGGGUUGUAAACCUCUUUUCUCAGGGAAGAUUAUGACGGUACCUGAGGAAUAAGUCACGGCUAACUACGUGCCAGCAGCCGCGGUAAUACGUAGGUGGCUAGCGUUGUCCGGAUUUACUGGGCGUAAAGAGCGCGCAGGCGGUCGUUCAAGUCGAGUGUGAAAGCCCCCGGCUCAACUGGGGAGGGUCACUCGAUACUGAUCGACUCGAAGGCAGGAGAGGGAAGUGGAAUUCCCGGUGUAGUGGUGAAAUGCGUAGAUAUCGGGAGGAACACCAGUGGCGAAGGCGACUUUCUGGCCUGUUCUUGACGCUGAGGCGCGAAAGCUAGGGUAGCAAACGGG